rnacentral:rRNA from 1 species
CCUACGGGAGGCAGCAGUGAGGAAUAUUGGUCAAUGGACGAGAGUCUGAACCAGCCAAGUAGCGUGAAGGAUGACUGCCCUAUGGGUUGUAAACUUCUUUUAUAUGGGAAUAAAAUGUUCCACGUGUGGGAUUUUGUAUGUACCAUAUGAAUAAGGAUCGGCUAACUCCGUGCCAGCAGCCGCGGUAAUACGGAGGAUCCGAGCGUUAUCCGGAUUUAUUGGGUUUAAAGGGAGCGUAGGUGGAUUGUUAAGUCAGUUGUGAAAGUUUGCGGCUCAACCGUAAAAUUGCAGUUGAAACUGGCAGUCUUGAGUACAGUACAGGUGGGCGGAAUUCGUGGUGUAGCGGUGAAAUGCUUAGAUAUCACGAAGAACUCCGAUUGCGAAGGCAGUUCACUGGACUGCAACUGACACUGAGGCUCGAAAGUGUGGGUAUCAAACAGGAUUAGAUACCCCAGUAGUC